GUCUAGCCUGCUCCAUGAUAUUUAAAUAGCCGCAGUAUUUUGACUGUGCAAAGGUAGCAUAAUCAUUAGUUUCUUAAUUAGGAACUUGUAUGAAUGGUUGGAUGAGAAAUAAUCUGUCUCUAUAUAAUUUUACUAGAAUUUUAUUUUUAAGUUAAAAAGCUUAAAUUUUUAUUAAAGACGAGAAGACCCUAUAGAGUUUUAUUUAAUUAGAGUUAUUAUUUAUUAAGAAUUUAAAUUUUGUAAUUUUAAUUGAAUUUUGUUGGGGUGACAGGAAAACAAGUUAAACUUUUCAUUUUUAAAACAUUAUUUUAUGAUUUGUUGAUCCAAUUUUUUUGAUUAUAAGAUUAAAUUACCUUAGGGAUAACAGCGUAAUUUUUUUUGAGAGUUCUUAUCGAAAAAGGAGAUUGCGACCUCGAUGUUGGAUUAAAAUUUAAAGUUGGCGUAGAAGUUAACUUUUUAAGUCUGUUCGACUUUUAAAAUUUUACGUGAUCUGAGUUCAGACCGGA
rnacentral:rRNA from 1 species